UACGUAGGAGGCGAGCGUUGUCCGGAAUUACUGGGCGUAAAGCGCGCGUAGGCGGCUCCUUACGACCUGGGUGAAAGCCCCCGGCUCAACCGGGGAGGGUCCCAGGUAACGGGGGAGCUCGGAGGGCAGGAGAGGGAAGUAGAACUCCGGGAGUAGCGGUGAAAUGCGUAGAGACCCGGAGGAAUACCAGUGGCGAAGGCGGCUUCCUGGUCUGCACCUGACGCUGAGGCGCGAAAGCUAGGGGA
rnacentral:rRNA from 1 species